AACGAACGCUGGCGGCAGGCUUAACACAUGCAAGUCGAGCGCCCCGCAAGGGGAGCGGCAGACGGGUGAGUAACGCGUGGGAAUCUACCCAGCUCUACGGAACAACUCCGGGAAACUGGAGCUAAUACCGUAUACGUCCUUCGGGAGAAAGAUUUAUCGGAGUUGGAUGAGCCCGCGUUGGAUUAGCUAGUUGGUGGGGUAGUGGCCUACCAAGGCGACGAUCCAUAGCUGGUCUGAGAGGAUGAUCAGCCACACUGGGACUGAGACACGGCCCAGACUCCUACGGGAGGCAGCAGUGGGGAAUAUUGGACAAUGGGCGCAAGCCUGAUCCAGCCAUGCCGCGUGCGUGAUGAAGGCCUUAGGGUUGUAAAGCUCUUUUACCCGGGAUGAUAAUGACAGUACCGGGAGAAUAAGCUCCGGCUAACUCCGUGCCAGCCGCCGCCGUAA
rnacentral:rRNA from 1 species